CUACGGGAGGCUGCAGUGGGGAAUAUUGCACAAUGGGCGCAAGCCUGAUGCAGCCAUGCCGCGUGUAUGAAGAAGGCCUUCGGGUUGUAAAGUACUUUCAGCGGGGAGGAAGGGAGUAAAGUUAAUACCUUUGCUCAUUGACGUUACCCGCAGAAGAAGCACCGGCUAACUCCGUGCCAGCAGCCGCGGUAAUACGGAGGGUGCAAGCGUUAAUCGGAAUUACUGGGCGUAAAGCGCACGCAGGCGGUUUGUUAAGUCAGAUGUGAAAUCCCCGGGCUCAACCUGGGAACUGCAUCUGAUACUGGCAAGCUUGAGUCUCGUAGAGGGGGGUAGAAUUCCAGGUGUAGCGGUGAUAUGCGUAGAGAUCUGGAGGAAUACCGGUGGCGAAGGCGGCCCCCUGGACGAAGACUGACGCUCAGGUGCGAAAGCGUGGGGAGCAAACAGGAUUAGAUACCCGCGUAGUC
rnacentral:rRNA from 1 species